rnacentral:lncRNA from 1 species
CGCCUUAGAUUUUGCCAGAUUUAGACCAAAUCUCCAUCCUUCCACAAGCUCUUCGACGCCGACUCGCCACCGUCCUCAACUCUUGAGUCUCUAGCUCAGACUCGUCCUUGAAAUCCCGGAAAUCAACCUCGAGAUCAUCUUUUCCACGCACCGACGGCUUCCGUUUUGGCCUGCCUCUUCGAGUGCUUGCCCGACGAUUUCUUCAGAUUGGACCCAUAUGAAAUCCGCAGUCGAUUCGCGAGACCUCUGGUCGGGGAUGGAAAUCAGGAGACAAUAGCACCUCGCUGAAACGGUACGAGAAGACCAGCAGGAGUAACAACAAAAAAGCUGGCUGACUAUCAGAGCUUGCUUCGGUCUGG